UCCCUGGUGGCUCAGUUGGUAAAGAAUCCGCCUGCAAUGCAGGAGACCCUGGUUUGAUUCCUGGGUAGGGAA
rnacentral:tRNA from 1 species